rnacentral:lncRNA from 1 species
AUGCAGGAGCCAUCAAUCAUGCAGCCACUUCUCCCAAAGUUCAGCCAAGCUGUUACUAUGACAGCUGCAGCUGCCCUGCAUGCCCCACAGCCACUCCAGCAGGUAUUUGCCUUGGAUGCAGCAGGCUUGAAUCAUCUGUUCCAGAUGCCUUUGAGCCUUCAGCUACUCCUGAUGUCUCUGCAUUGUAACCUCCAAAUGAUCCUUUCCCUAUUAAUCUGAAAGUCCUCACAUUUGUCCAGGAAAUAUACAAAACUGCAAGUGUGAGGGCUGUUCCUGCUCUACAGAAGCAAUGCUCCCUCACACUCCUCUGGUCAGUGGAGAAGGGCUCUCUCUUGUACACUACUAACCCUAUGCUGCAGCAGGGGUCCCAAUAAAGCCUCACUUGAGUGGUCUUACUGCCUACUUCUGACUCUUACCUGAGGUAGAGUGGGCUGAGUGGGAUGCACUAAAAGGAGAUGGUGACACGAGGGGCUACUUUCCCUGAAGAGCUCGAGACCUGUGGUAAUCAAAGAGACUGAUGGGAACUGGUAGUAAAUAGUGGCAGUGAUUUGCAGAGACCUGCAGUGGCCUGCAGAGAGCACCAGAAGGGCAAUGGAAGCUGCUACAAGAGCUCCAGAAAGCUACCAAGGAGGCUACAUAGGCCUCAGCUUCUGAGGAGCUAAGAGGAGUGACUAGAAGCCACCAAGGGCUGUACACUAAGACGCGUAAAACUGUGGGCUGGGAGCCUUCAGCACUAAGAGCCUGGAGCCACUAACAUCCAGGGAGGAGCACAUUGCUGAUUCAUAAUUCCUACUCAAAUUGGGCAAAAGAAAGCUCAGUCAAUUGGCAACACUAGCUAAAUACCAGGAGUGCAACUGCUAGCUCAUAUAUUAAGGGUAGGUUUAGUUUUAUAAGAAAGUGCUAUGAGCUAUGAUUGAUAAAUUACUAGAGGCUUGGUGUAGACAAGUUUAAAAAUUACAAACUCCAGAAUAGCCAAAAUAAUACUGGAGGAAAAGUACAAAACUGGACUUCAAAACUUCCUUUAAAGCAACAGUGGUGAAACCAGUGUGGUACUGCUAUGAGACAGAUACAUGUAACCAAAAAAACAGCCCUAAAACAGACCCACACGCGUACAGUCAACUGGUUUUUGACAAAGAAUUAAAAACAAUACAAUGAAAAAAAGACUUCAACAAAUGAUGCUAGAACUGUAUUCCCACAUACAGUCUGUGACUGUAUAUGCCUCACAAAAAUUAAUUCAAGAUGGAUCAUAGACUUAAAGGAAAAGGUAAAACUAUAAAACACCUAGAAGUUAACACGG